rnacentral:lncRNA from 10 species
GUAUUCAUCAUCUCAUGUAGUUAUCACCUUUUUUUUUUUGCUAAAAUCAACUCAUUUUGCAUGAAUCCCAAAUACAGCACCAUUUUAUUACCUAUAGUCCUCACGUUGUACAUUAGCUCUCUAGACUUAGUCAUCCUACAUAUCUGCCACUUUGUCCUGUGACCUACAAUCUCCCCAUUUCCUUCUCCCCUGCAACCACUGUUUUGUUCUCUACUUCUGAAUAUUUGUUUUUGUUUUUGUUUUAGGAUUCCACAUAUAAGUGAGAUGAUGCAAUGUUUUCCUUUUUUAGGUCUGGCUGAUUUCACUUAACAUAAUGUCCUUCAGGUUCAUCCACAUUGUGCCAAAUGUUAAUCCUCUGUGGCCAUGUCGGGUCUGUUGGUGGAGAUGCCAAACACGGAAGACAGUGAAGUGGUGGCUCAGCGUUCUCCAAAGGAAUGAGCAAGCAGAUGAGGCAAAGCACACUCUGAAGAGUGACAACUAUAGCUUCCAUAAGAAAGUUUUGGAGGCUCCUAAAAAUGACAGAUAAAUGAACUAACCUAAUCAGCAAAAUUAAACUAUAGGAAAGAGUAUGGACCUUGAAAAGACAGCUUAGCCAGCUUGACGACUAAAGCAACACCUUUCCAAGCAACAUUGGAAAUUUGACCUCCUCAUCAGAAAAAUGUGUAUAGACAUCUCUGGAGUCAGGCUACCCCAUAUGAAGCUUGGAUUUUGGCUUCACUGUGGCUGCAGGUAUUUGAGGAUGCAAUUAGCUGAACUAAUCUCACUCAAAUUCCUAAGUGCGACUUCUUACGUGGUUUUCAUCUAGCCGUUCUAUCUAUCCCAACAAGAAUCUGUUGCUAGACCUCAAAAACACUGAGUGCUGUCAGGAAAAAAUGUACAAGGCACCACAAAGAUUAUGGGGCAUCUACUAUGGAAAACCUAGACAUUGUCUAGAGCAUUGUUUGUGGUUAUCUCUGUCUUUCAUUGCCUUUGAUCUAUUUUUCAACUCUCCACAUUGUAGAAAAUGACUGAUAAUUCAAAUGAUUCUUUUCCAUAAAAAUGGAAGUGAACAAUGUUCGGUGGGAUGCAAUGGACUAAUUUUGUAGGUAUUUAUAAAUUUAUUUUAACAUUUUGUAUUACCUAUGUAUAUAUGUGAUUCUCUGAAUUCUCUUUUGAACUGAUCAUAACAUCUUACUGGAUCUCAUUAAUUA